rnacentral:lncRNA from 1 species
UAAAUUUGUCAAGAAUGGUUCGCAUAUAAAGAAAGAGCUAUCAAUCUCAACUAAACAACCCGGGUACACAGAGGUCCAAUACAAUGGAGUCAAACCAGCCAUUACCACAUGUCACUAGGUUCAGCCUAACCAACUCAUUCAUGCUUAUUUUUAUUUCAUUUUUUUUUUUUCAAUACACAUGACAACUACAACUAUCCAACCCCAUUAGGCUCUAGUAAGGUCCAUGUAGCGAGCUUUCAGUCAAUGACCCCCGAUCCAGUUGGUUCAAGACAUUAGGUGAAACAUCCCUCGGACUUAAUUACUCGAACCAGACCACGCCACGAGGCCAGACUUGUCAUCAUAAGUUUUUUUUUUUUGAAUAAUAAUUAUGCAAGAAAAGAAAUGAUAGACUGAACCAUAUAAAUAUUUUUAUUAUAUAUGUGACUGCAUCGUGACUAUAGGUCAACCAAAGUCGGAUCAUAAGGCACCUAAGUAAU